AACGAACGCUGGCGGCAUGCCUAACACAUGCAAGUCGAACGGGACGUUCGGGCCUAGUUGCGCAGGUCUGCGUGACGCGUGGGAAGCUGCCCUUAGGUUCGGAAUACCUCCCCGAGGGGUGUCCUCAUACCGGUUAGUCUCUUCGCGCCUAAGAUUUAUCGCCGUGGGAUGGGCGCGCGUUGGUUUAGCUGGUUGGUAGGGUAAAAGCCUACCAAGGGGACGAUCCAUGGCUGGUCUGAGAGGAGGAUCAGCCACACUGGGACUGAGACACGGCCCAGACUGGGACGGGGGGCAGGAGUGGGGAAUAUAGUAGGAGGGGCGAAAGUCUGACACAGCAAUGCCGCGUGAGAGAGGAAGGGCUUAGGGUUGUAAAGCUCUUUGAGACGGGAUGAUAAUGACAGUACCGGGAGAAGAAGCUCCGGCUAACUCCGUG
rnacentral:rRNA from 1 species